CUCCACCAGCAGAUUUUUUGCCCCCAUCCAGAUGAAGACAUUUGUGUUUUCAGAGCAUUUACAGUUCUGAUCCCACCCCCACUCCCAGAUGAAAUCCUGGGGAGUCAUUCUCCAUGGAGUGACGCCUUUUUAAAAAUCAUUUAGCUUGGGGCCUUUGUUUUAUUCCCAUAGAUGGUGGGGUGCGAGAGACGUAAACAUCUCAGUGGCCAGCUCGAUACACAAGCCGAUGUCCCAAAGAUGCCCAAGUUGGAGCUCGGAGCCUGUUUCAUAUGAUCAGCCAAGUGGACAUAGAGGAAGUGGCAGAGCUGGGACUUGAACCAAGACGUCGGGACUGCAGCGAUGGCUGUCGGCGCUUGCCCUUCCCGCCUUCCGCCCCCAGCACCUGGCGCACUGAGCGAGCUCACGAUAAACGCUGGACAGGUUUGGAGGUGAGAAAGCCGUAAACCACUGCGGUGCCUUCAAAAAAUGAGAUGGUGCACUCAAGCGACGCAGGCCGACUGGGGAAUGGUUGAAAUAUUAAUACUAUUGCCCCGGAAGGACCACGUGCUGCAAAUCCUGAGGCCAAAGGUGAUGCAGAGAGCAAGGAAGUUAUAAAGGUGGGGGGCAGGGGGCUGAAAUCACAGCCACUUAGACUCAGGGAACUUUUCCUUGAAGCAAAUGAUAACUUAAUGGGGCGAAAAACUUGGGUGGUUUUAAAAUUGAAGCACAAAACUCCCCUUGCCCUGCUGCCCCUGAUUGAGCCAAGGGCAUGGGUUAUGGCCGCAGUUAUGGAUGCUGAACUCAGCCUGCUGUCCAGAUCCGACGGCUGCGGGGGCGCUGGUCACUGGGGAGGCGGGCACCACGGAGAACAGGGACAGAGGUGGAUUUAACCGGAAUGAUGGCCGUGACCAGCCACGUGGCCGUGACUCAGGCCCAAUUUCUCCCUCUCUGCCUCUUGCCUUGGAUAAACUCCAUGUAGGUGACACCAGAGUGAUUGCCUGGCUGCCAUUGGAAGGCACCGUGACAUAUAAUAAGCCACUCAAACCGUAAGCCAACAUUUAUCUGUAGGGAGCCAUGUUCGGCACGUCUAGAAAAGGUGAAUUUUCCAGACGAGAAGGACCUUGAAGGUUUUCUGCUUCAGUGGUUUCUAUCCCUCUUAAUGCACUGCGUCACUUUUGUUCUUUUGCCACCAGGCCUCAUGUUUUCAAAGAUUGUGUCGCCCAAGCUGCCUUCGUCAAGUAAUAAUUAAUUUGUUUCCCAAUUGUUUAAUUAAUCAACGACAUAAAUAACUGCCAA